rnacentral:rRNA from 1 species
AUUGAACGUUGGCGGCAGGCUUAACACAUGCAAGUCGAACGAGAAAGUCCUUUCGGGGAUGAGUACAGUGGCGGACGGGUGAGUAACGCGUAGGAAUCUACCUGGUAGUGGGGGAUAACUCGGGGAAACCCGAGCUAAUACCGCAUACGCUCUACGGAGGAAAGAGGGCCUCUAUUUAUAAGCUCUCGUUAUCAGAGGAGCCUGCGUUGGAUUAGCUAGUUGGUAGGGUAAAGGCCUACCAAGGCGACGAUCCAUAGCUGGUCUGAGAGGACGAUCAGCCACACUGGAACUGAGACACGGUCCAGACUCCUGCGGGAGGCAGCAGUGGGGAAUCUUGGGCAAUGGGCGAAAGCCUGACCCAGCCAUGCCGCGUGUGCGAAGAAGGCCUUCGGGUUGUAAAGCACUUUCAGUAGCGAAGAAAAGCCAGGGGCUAAUACCCCCAGGUCUUGACGUUAGCUACAGAAGAAGCACCGGCUAACUCCGUGCCAGCCGCCGCUGUAACAG